rnacentral:rRNA from 1 species
GUUACCCUACGGGACGCAGCAGUAGGGAAUCUUCCACAAUGGACGAAAGUCUGAUGGAGCAACGCCGCGUGAGUGAAGAAGGGUUUCGGCUCGUGAAGCUCUGUUGGUAGUGAAGAAAGAUAGAGGUAGUAACUGGCCUUUAUUUGACGGUAAUUACUUAGAAAGUCACGGCUAACUACGUGCCAGCAGCCGCGGUAAUACGUAGGUGGCAAGCGUUGUCCGGAUUUAUUGGGCGUAAAGCGAGUGCAGGCGGUUCAAUAAGGC